rnacentral:misc_RNA from 1 species
CUAUGCUCGGAGGUAUUCGAAUCCCCCGGUCGGAUUUUGUUGCUUGUGCCUCGUACCUCAGUGUCGGCAUCAGCAUUGUCCCAAAGAACGGCCAGUUGUCCCAGUUUUCGUGUCUCGGUGCUCAUGUGUCCCUGUCACGGGGCUGGCUUGGAAACAUCGAUAGCGCUCGCUCAUCUACUACUAACGUUGUCGCGGGCGUGGCGUUAUCGAUGUUCGAUCUCUCGUGCGCGGAAUGCCCGUCGGCGCGGUGGUUCACCGAACCCCGCUAUUUAGACCCUCGAUGAAAAGUCGUCCGAUGCAAUCUUGAGCGACCAUCGUGCCUGCGAAUGUGUUUGCCGCCGAGAAGGCGCAGCGCAUGCAGUGCCGAUGUCGUACGGGAACGCUACCUGGUUGAUCCUGCCAGUAGUCAUAUGCUUGUCUCAAAGAUUAAGCCA